GCGCCCGUGGCUCAAUUGGAUAGAGCAUCGGCCUACGGAGCCGGUGGUUGCAGGUUCGAGUCCUGCCGGGCGCGCCA
rnacentral:tRNA from 1 species